GGGGAAUCUUGCGCAAUGGGCGAAAGCCUGACGCAGCGACGCCGCGUGCGGGAAGAAGGCCUUCGGGUUGUAAACCGCUUUCAGGAGGGACGAAGCCACUCGGGUUAAUAGCCCAGAGGGUGACGGUACCUACAGAAGAAGCCCCGGCUAAAUACGUGCCAGCAGCCGCGGUAAUACGUAGGGGGCAAGCGUUGUCCGGACUUAUUGGGCGUAAAGCGCGUGUAGGCGGCCAGGUAGGUCCGUUGUGAAAACUCGAGGCUCAACCUCGAGACGUCGACGGAAACCAUCUGGCUAGAGUCCGGAAGAGGAGAGUGGAAUUCCUGGUGUAGCGGUGAAAUGCGCAGAUAUCAGGAAGAACACCCGUGGCGAAGGCGGCUCUCUGGGACGGUACUGACGCUAAGACGCGAAAGCGUGGGGAGCAAAC
rnacentral:rRNA from 1 species